GAAGGAAAUUCUGGGCCGCUGACGAUGGGUCAUUAUUACUUUUGGUACGCGCUGUGACACAUCAAACUCGUACCGUGAGUAAUAAUGCGCCAUUGGCAGCCUGGGCAGCAAGAAAGACG
rnacentral:pre_miRNA from 12 species